AGCCAUAUUUAUAAGAGACUCAGGAGAGUGUGUUCACCGGGGCUCUCUAAGACAAGGGUGGUAGGGGCACAAAUACCUUCCCAGAACAGUCACCUUAUUAAGUUGCAUUAAUUUCAACACAUACACACACACACACACACACACACGCAUACCUCUGCCCUCCGGUUGUGACCUAUGCAGACGCCCACAUACCUUAAGUUGAUUUACUUGCAAACCUGGAUUUCAAUCAGGUGUCCACAGCACCGAAUGGGAAAGUGAGCUGUACCUAAAGAACUUUGGAACACAGGGUUCUGGAUGGCACAUUCUGUGUUUAACAGACAUGAGACAUGGACACACAGAUGACAUUUGCGCGCCGGGGUCUUGGCAAAAACAGUUUUUUACUUCCCGAGUUCUUUCUCUUUGUUACGGGACACGAUGAAACAGCACAAUUUUCAAGAGUCCACAGCCCCAGCGUGGCUCAUGGAUGGGAAACUGUCACGUUGUGACACAAAUUGUGUUUGUGCUUUGCUGGAUCGUCGCCCCGCCCCCGGCAGCCCCAGAGAGCUGUCAGAUCCUAUUUGCUUUGCUAAAUAAGGAUAUCUCGCCAAAUUAGCCUUUAAUGAUACUUGUACGAAUCGGGUGCGUUGCGUGAAUUAACGAGGCCGGAACGCGGAAUGGUGGCCAAGACACUGAGCUCGCAUCCAGGCGGUGAAGCCGUAUGUUAACAUGACUGGAUUGUGAAGUGGGGAGAAUCAGACAGAGUUUCGUGCCGAGUGUGAAGCGGGUCUGCUUUCCUGCGAGCAUGUGCAAUGGCACGGCCCUGGCUGACACGCGGCCCCCAAACCGGCGCGUGGAACUCUGAAUACAUUUAGUGCAACUUGGCCCCCUUCGGAGUCUGGAAACAGGCAGGGUGGUAUGGUGAAGGGCUUGUAAAUCAGGACUCUGCCGUGAGAAGUCUUCAGUACUUGGGCAGAGAAUCACAGCUCCUGUGCAUGUUCCUACCACCACCCUCUCCCCGUCCUCCCCACAGCAAUAAGAAAACACACACACGCACAUGCACACACACACGCGUGCGCGUGCACACACAAAUUAACAAGGAACUGUAGAAUAUGCUGAAUGCAUUUUGGCUUUUCUCCUUUGGCCUGUGUGAAAUUUCUCGAAGCGGUUGCUAUCCGCACCCCCCACACACACCCCACCUCCAAGACGUGUGGAUUCAGAAGAAAAAAAAAAAUAGAAACUUGGAAUUUAGUUCUUAUCAAUAUCUAAGAUACAGCGAAUCUCAUCGGGACACAAAUGUUUCAAAGGGGGGAAAAAUAUGAUCUAGCCAGGGGUGAAAUAUUUAGAGGGGGUAGUGCAAUGAGAGGAAUACUUCCUUAAGAAUAAAACACGCGUUUAUGACUCAAACCAAUGAUAGGUGGGAAAGUCCCUACAAGGGAACACUCCCUCUUUUUCUUGCUCCCCAGCACCGCCCCCCUCAACACACACACACACACACACACACACACACACACACACACACCCCCUCCACCUUAAAUAUUAAGAACAGAAAGAUGGUUCUUGCCAGGUAAAGGUACGGCUUUCUAGCAGCAGAUCAGCUCACCCUCUUUUAAUUGGGAUCGUGGAGUAAAUACCGCUCUUUCGGGCGGUGAGGAUAAAAAUUAGCCUGAUCAUGGUUAAGGGAAACUCGGUCCUUAGACUCACUUGCCAGAAAAUACGUGCACGCACCAACAAAAUAAAACAUUGUUCUGGAAUUUUCUCUCUUGCCCAGCAUCCCAAACUUGGGAACAUGUAAAGUCCCUUUUUUUUUUUUUUUCACUGCUUAUGUCCGGAACGAGGGAAACAAAACCACCACACGACCAUGAGGUAAACCACCAUCGGCUUUGCAGGCCCGGUAGCCAGGCAGGCUUUUCAAGCAAAAGGGUGGAUGAGGUAGAGAAUUUGGAAGGAGUGAGCUUUGGGGUCCCACCAUCACCCUGAGCCCCCAGCCCUCCUCUGGUCUCCUCCCUUUAGAGUGGCCAGUGAUCUGAUGCCCGCCCGGAAUCUUGGGUUCUCGGGGGCAUGUCCGUAUUUACAGAGCCUUCAAGUUUCAGAUUGUACAUCAUCUUCAAGCACCUGCAUUUAAGGAACCACAGGGCAAACUUGUUUCUCGGGUGUCCCUGAAUGGCCGCACCGCUCCACGAAAGGGGGACACACACGUAGGAAGUGGAAACUGCUGCUGGUGUCACAAGAAAGCCAUGUUUAAAAUGCACCCGGAAGAUGGGGGGCAAAUGGAGCCUUUUGUCCAGGAUUUGCUUGGCCCCUGCAGGGAAGGGAGGUGGUGGCCACCUUGAGCCUGAAGUUAGCUGUGCGGCAUGGUGUGAAAGUUUGCUCAGAGGCGUGCAGAAAACUAGGCUCUCUCGUUGGAAUCGUGCGUGAGCUCAGUGCCCGGGCCUGUUGGCAUCUCCACCCGAGGCAGCCUGGACCACUGCCUGCCCAGGCCUGAACGCGGCCUGAGAGGCGCCGCCGGUGCCCAAACGAGCCCCCGGACAGGUGCCGGGGGUCUCUGCUCCCAGGACCCCGCCGGCAGCAUUUAUUGGCUAGAAGCGGGGUGUUGGGCUCCUGAGAGCGGCCUCCCCAGGGACUCUGCAGGGCUCAGUGUCCCAUUUACCACGUGGGCUCUGGUGAGGGCAGAGCCCCACUUGGCUAAGCACAGCCUCCCAGAUGCUCAGAGGGAAACAGAUGAGGCCGUCCGAGGGGCUUGGGGCAAAUCCGCCUGUGCGUGAGUCUAGAAGGUUCAGGGGCAGAGCUGUGCUUUUGCAGGCCAGCCGGAAGUCCUCUCCGGGAUCCUCGCAUUUGGGGUGGGCCCAGGGGGCGUGGCACUCGGCCAGCAGCGUCUCAGCGACCGAGCAAGCUGCCGCCUUCCCCAGGCCUCUUCCAUCGGGCAGCGAGGAAGACCCAGGCCAGCAGGGCAAGGGUUGCAGCCCCGAAGUGGGGAGAAGGCGUUGGAGGCCCAUCAGGGGGCCUGCUGGGCAGACGAGGGGACCCUGAGCCGGCCUGGCGGGGAGGGGGGCGGCCGAGAGAGAAGUGGGUGGGCAUCCCGGAGUUGAGCUUGCAGGGAAGAAGCCCGCUCAGGCAUGCUGCACCCAGCCCUGAGUCAGCCCGUCCCACGGGACUCCCGUUUGGCCCCAGCAACUGGACUCCAGGCCACCCAAAGGCCUCGUGCGUGGGUUCCUGCUUGUGUCUUAGAAUGGCAUUAAAAGGUCCAGACCAGGCGCUCGCAGGCCGGGCCUUAUUUAGCCUCAGCUUCACCCAGAGAAUAUUUUAGGUGCCGCUUGAAAGAAGAGAUCGGGGCCGGGUUACCAGCUGUCACAUGGAGAGCGUAGAAUUGGUCCCUUGCAGGCCUGGCCCCGACCGCCCGGUGCUCACCGGCACAGAUGCCCCGCGUCCCUGCCAGGGCUCCGGGGCCACGCGACAGGGGCCAAGGAGCCGGUUCUGGGCCGGGAAGGCUUUGCGUCCCGUUUUCGGUCCAACGGCGAUAAGGCAGAGGCGGCCUCCAUUCACAGAGCUCACAGAGGCUGUUCUCAGCCCCUCUCUCUUCUCUCGAUGGCCCAGUGUGAUAUGCCAGCCUGCUGGCUACUGCCCAAUGCCCAUCAAGAGCGCAUGGGUGGGGGAGCCCGUUUCCACGGCCUCGCCCACCCCAGCAAGGACGCAGUGUGUCAGGGGAAAAAAGUCCCAAAUGAGUUGCAGAUAAACCUGCCAGUAAUUUUAGUGAACGAGGCGUGGAGCACAUAAAGGCCAGAAGAUGGAAAACACUGCGGGUUUGAUAAAAGGAGUUCUGCUCGGCUCGGAAUCCUCCCUCCUGCUAGUCCCGCUGAGAUCUAUCUGGAGAGGGUCUGACGGAUUGAGGAAAAAGAAAUGAGACCAACGUUGAGUCUCCUUUCAAGGGCUGUGCUAAUAUAAAACCAAACAACUUGAAAUUGUUCCAAGAGGGGAUUAAAGCAACAUGUUAUUUGGAGUGAUUGCUUAAUUUAUUGAGCUGCGGCUAGAUCUGUAACAAAAUACAGUCCUCGCAACUGAUAA